rnacentral:rRNA from 1 species
GAUGAACGCUGGCGGCGUGCCUAAUACAUGCAAGUCGAGCGAACAGACGAGGAGCUUGCUCCUCUGACGUUAGCGGCGGACGGGUGAGUAACACGUGGAUAACCUACCUAUAAGACUGGGAUAACUUCGGGAAACCGGAGCUAAUACCGGAUAAUAUAUUGAACCGCAUGGUUCAAUAGUGAAAGACGGUUUUGCUGUCACUUAUAGAUGGAUCCGCGCCGCAUUAGCUAGUUGGUAAGGUAACGGCUUACCAAGGCAACGAUGCGUAGCCGACCUGAGAGGGUGACCGGCCACACUGAAACUGAGCCACGGUCAGACUCCUACGGGAGGCAGCAGUAGGGAAUCUUCCGCAAUGGGCGAAAGCCUGACGGAGCAACGCCGCGUGAGUGAUGAAGGUCUUCGGAUCGUAAAACUCUGUUAUUAGGGAAGAACAAAUGUGUAAGUAACUAUGCACGUCUUGACGGUACCUAAUCAGAAAGCCACGGCUAACUACGUG